UAUCUAAUGGCAAUCCAUGCAUUUUUUUUAACAUAAACGCAUAAGGAAACAAAAGCACUUGCACUUAAAGUAUCUUACCACGCUAUUGAAAGAUAAAAUCUGAAUGCACGUUCUUUCCUUUGUCUGCCUCGGUGAAAUUAAGACUAUUGACGAUAUGAAAUUUUCUGAUUUCAAACACUCUUUCCUCUCUCUCUCUCUCUACUAUAUGGGUGUGAUGAAUUUUUUUAUUUUUUACUUUUUUUUUGUACAAAACUCUUACAUCA
rnacentral:lncRNA from 1 species